rnacentral:rRNA from 1 species
AUGAAUAUCCUAGUAUGGAACUGUCGGGGGGGGACCGCCGGACAGUUCGUGAGGUGUUGGCCCUCUCUAAUUAAAGCCAAUUCCCCGGGGCUUGUUUUUCUCUCGGAAACAAGACAGGCCUCUUCAAAGAUGUAGAAACUAAAGUGGAGAUUACAGAUGAAGGGUUUUGCGGGUGUGUCGAGUGAUGGACUCAGUGGAGGACUUGUGCUCUAUUGGGAUGAGAAGUUGCAAGUGACAGUGUUGGAUUCCUGUGCACGGUACAUUGACGUGCGGAUUGUAGAUGUGGCAAGUGGCAAGAAUUGGAGGACGACGUUUGUUUAUGGUGAACCUCGAGUGGAAAAUCGUCAUCACAUGUGGAGUUCACUUUCCCAGCUCCGUGCGAUCUCUUCGGAGCCGUGGUUAGUGUGUGGCGAUUUCAACGAGGCGAUGUGGUAG